CCGUGCGGCCACAACACGCUCGCGAGAAGAAGAAGCAGCAGCGACGUCACCGUAUUUUUCUCCUCGACGCAGCUGACGAUGUAAACAAGAGAAGACGGUCGAGGGCAGCGGGGAUCGAACAGGCCACCGUCACCGCAGAGGAUCGCCGCUCCCGGCUGCUUGAACAUGGGGCUCCCGGUCACCAUCAAAGUCAACUUCCGGGGGAACGUGAAGAGAUUCCUGGCGCAGGACCUGGACAAGCUGGAGUGGGAGUCGGUGGAAGCCUGGAUCAAAGCGUCGUUCGGGAUCAACCACUUCCAGGUGAAAUACUUCGACGAGGACAACGAGGAGAUUUGCAUCAACAGUCAAGGUGA